UACGGAGGGUGCAAGCGUUAUCCGGAUUUACUGGGUUUAAAGGGUGCGUAGGCGGGCUUGUAAGUCCGUGGUGAAAUCCCCGAGCUUAACUUGGGAACUGCCAUGGAUACUAUAAGUCUUGAAUAUUGUGGAGGUAAGCGGAAUAUGUCAUGUAGCGGUGAAAUGCUUAGAUAUGACAUAGAACACCAAUUGCGAAGGCAGCUUGCUACACGAUCAUUGACGCUGAGGCACGAAAGCGUGGGGAGCAAACAGG
rnacentral:rRNA from 1 species